rnacentral:rRNA from 1 species
CCCUUAGAUGUUCUGGGCCGCACGCGCGCUACACUGAUGCAUUCAACGAGCCUAUCCUUGACCGACAGGUCCGGGUAAUCUUUGAAUCUGCAUCGUGACGGGGAUAGAUUAUUGCAAUUAUUAAUCUUCAACGAGGAAUGCCUAGUAGGCGCAAGUCUUCAGCUUGCGUCGAUUACGUCCCUGCCCUUUGUACACACCGCCCGUCGCUCCUACCGAUUGGGUGUGCUGGUGAAAUGUUCGGAUCGGCCGUUUGUCGCGGUUUCCGCGGCUCGUGGCUGAGAAGUUCAUUAAACCCUCCCACCUAGAGGAAGGAGAAGUCGUAACA